rnacentral:tRNA from 1 species
ACUUAGAUAGCUUAUGAAGAGCGUGAUAUUGAAGAUAUCAAGGAGAUUUUAUAUUUCUAGGUA